AAUAGAAUUACUGGAUCAUAUGGUAACUCUAUAUUUAACAGUUUGAGGAACUGCCAAACUGUUUUCCAAAGUAGCUAUACCAUUUUACAUUCCUAUUAGCAAU
rnacentral:pre_miRNA from 1 species